rnacentral:rRNA from 1 species
UGGUGGAGUGAUUUGUCUGCUUAAUUGCGAUAACGAACGAGACCUUAACCUGCUAAAUAGCCAGGCUAGCUUUGGCAGUACGCUGGCUUCUUAGAGGGACUAUCGGCUCAAGCCGAUGGAAGUUUGAGGCAAUAACA